GUACCGAUGAAGAGUCCAAAACUAGGACGAAACAGCUGUCCAGUAC
rfam:Trichobilharzia regenti genome assembly, scaffold: TRE_scaffold0020311